rnacentral:rRNA from 2 species
UGGGGAAUAUUGGGCAAUGGGGGCAACCCUGACCCAGCAACGCCGCGUGAAGGAAGAAGGCUUUCGGGUUGUAAACUUCUUUGACGAGGGACGAAGGAAGACGGUACCUCGAAAACAAGCCACGGCUAACUACGUGCCAGCAGCCGCGGUAAUACGUAGGUGGCAAGCGUUGUCCGGAUUUACUGGGUGUAAAGGGCGCGUAGGCGGGAUAGCAAGUCAGAUGUGAAAUGUAUGGGCUUAACCCAUGAACUGCAUUUGAAACUGUAAUUCUUGAGUAGCGGAGAGGCAGGCGGAAUUCCUAGUGUAGCGGUGAAAUGCGUAGAUAUUAGGAGGAACACCAGUGGCGAAGGCGGCCUGCUGGACGAAGACUGACGCUGAGGCGCGAAAGCGUGGGGAGCAAACAGG